rnacentral:lncRNA from 1 species
AUGUUCAAGCUGGUUUUAGAAAAGGCAGAGGAAUCAGAACAAAUUGCCAACAUCUGCUGGAUCAUGGAAAAAGCAAGAGUGUUCCAGAAAAACAUCUCAUUCUGCUCUUUUGACUAUGCCAAAGCCUUUGACUGUGUGGAUCACAAGAAACUGUGGAAAAUUCUGAAAAAGAUGGGAAUACCAGACCACCUGACCUGCCUCUUGAGAAAUCUGUAUGCAGGUCAGGAAGCAACAGUUAGAACUGGACAUGGAACAACAGACUGGUUCCAAAUAGGAAAAGAAAUACUUCAAGGCUGUAUAUUGUCACCCUGCUUAUUUAACUUCUAUGCAGAGUACAUCAUGAGAAACGUUGGACUGGAAGAAGCACAAGCUGGAGGAAUAAAGAUUGUCGGGAGAAAUAUCAAUAACCUCAGAUAUGCAGAUGACACCACCCUUAUGGCAGAAAGUGAAGAGGAGCUAAAAAGCCUCUUGGUGAAAGUGAAAGUGGAGAGUGAAAAAGUUGGCUUAAAGCUCAACAUUCAGAAAACGAAGAUCAUGGCAUCCGGUCCCGUCACUUCAUGGGAAAUAGAUGGGGAAACAGUGGACAUAGUGUCAGGCUUUAUUUUUCUGGGCUCCAAAAUCACUGCAAAUGGUGACUGCAGCCAUGAAAUUAAAAAACACUUACUCCUUGGAAGAAAAGUUAUGACCAACCUAGAUAAUAUGUUCAAAAGCAGAGACAUUACUUUGCUGACUAAGGUCCAUCUAGUCAAGCCUAUGUUUUUUCCUGUGGUCAUGUAUGGAUGUGAGAGUUGGACUGUGAAGAAGGCUGAGUGCCAUAGAACUGAUGCUUUUAAACUGUGGUGUUGGAGAAGACUCUUGAGAGUCCCUUGGACUGCAAGGAGAUCCAACCGGUCCAUUCUGAAGGAGAUCAACCCUGGGAUUUCUUUGGAAGGAAUGAUGCUAAAGCUGAAGCUCCAGUACUUUGGCCACUUCAUGGGAAGAGUUGACUCAUUGGAAAAGACUCUGAUGCUGGGAGGGAUGGGGGGCAGGAGGAGAAGGGGACAACCGAGGAUGAGAUGGCUGGCUGGCAUCACGGACUCGAUGCAUGUGAGUCUGAGUGAACUCCGGGAGUUGGUGAUGGACAGGGAGGCCUGGUGUGCUGCGAUUCAUGGGGUCACAAAGAGUUGGACACGACUAAGCGACUGA